GUGAUGGCUCAGUGAGGCCUUGGGACUGGCUCAGGAGGGUUGGCAACGACCCCCCAGAGCCGGAAACUUGGUCAAACUCGGUCAUUUAGAGGAAGUAAAAGUCGUAACAAGGUUUCCGUAGGUGAACCUGCGGAAGGAUCAUUACUGAGUGAGGGCCCUCUGGGUCCAACCUCCCACCCGUGUUUAUUGUACCUUGUUGCUUCGGUGCGCCCGCCUCACGGCCGCCGGGGGGCUUCUGCCCCCGGGUCCGCGCGCACCGGAGACACUAUUGAACUCUGUCUGAAGAUUGCAGUCUGAGCAUAAACUAAAUAAGUUAAAACUUUCAACAACGGAUCUCUUGGUUCCGGCAUCGAUGAAGAACGCAGCGAAAUGCGAUAACUAAUGUGAAUUGCAGAAUUCAGUGAAUCAUCGAGUCUUUGAACGCACAUUGCGCCCCCUGGUAUUCCGGGGGGCAUGCCUGUCCGAGCGUCAUUGCUGCCCUCAAGCACGGCUUGUGUGUUGGGCUCCGUCCCCCCGGGGACGGGUCCGAAAGGCAGCGGCGGCACCGAGUCCGGUCCUCGAGCGUAUGGGGCUUUGUCACCCGCUCUGUAGGCCCGGCCGGCGCCAGCCGACAACCAAUCAUCCUUUUUUCAGGUUGACCUCGGAUCAGGUAGGGAUACCCGCUGAACUUAAGCAUAUCAAUAAGCGGAGGAAAAGAAACCAACAGGGAUUACCUCAGUAACGGCGAGUGAAGCGGUAAGAGCUCAAAUUUGAAAGCUGGCUCCUUCGGGGUCCGCAUUGUAAUUUGCAGAGGAUGUUUCGGGAGCAGCCCCCAUCUAAGUGUCCUGGAACGGACCGUCAUAGAGGGUGAGAAUCCCGUAUGGGAUGGGGUGUCUG
rnacentral:rRNA from 1 species